UGCAGUCGACGAGAGGACAUGGGAAGCUUGCUUCCUAUGAAAUCGAGUGGCAAACGGGUGAGUAACGCGUAAACAACCUGCCCUUCGGAUGGGGAUAACAGCCGGAAAUGGCUGCUAAUACCGAAUACGAUCUUUUCGUCGCAUGACGGAAAGAAGAAAGGAUGGCCUCUAUACAAAGCUAUCGCCGAAGGGGGGGUUUGCGUCUGAUUAGCUGGUUGGAGGGGUAACGGCCCAACAAGGCGAUGAUCAGUAGCCGGUCUGAGAGGAUGAACGGCCACAUUGGGACUGAGACACGGCCCAGACUCCUACGGGAGGCAGCAGUGGGGAAUCUUCCGCAAUGGACGAAAGUCUGACGGAGCAACGCCGCGUGAGUGAAGAAGGUCUUCGGAUUGUAAAGCUCUGUUAUACGGGACGAAAAAGACGGAUGCCAACAGUAUCCGUCCGUGACGGUACCGUAAGAGAAAGCCACGGCUAACUACGUGCCAGCAGCCGCGGUAAUACGUAGGUGGCAAGCGUUGUCCGGAAUUAUUGGGCAUAAAGGGCGCGCAGGCGGUUCGGUAAGUCUGUCUUAAAAGUGCGGGGCUUAACCCCGUGAGGGGACGGAAACUGUCGAACUUGAGUGUCGGAGAGGAAAGCGGAAUUCCUAGUGUAGCGGUGAAAUGCGUAGAUAUUAGGAGGAACACCGGUGGCGAAAGCGGCUUUCUGGACGACAACUGACGCUGAGGCGCGAAAGCGUGGGGAGCAAACAG
rnacentral:rRNA from 1 species